rfam:Felis catus isolate Cinnamon breed Abyssinian chromosome A1, whole genome shotgun sequence.
GCCUGGGUGGCUCAGUUGGUUGGGCGUCUGACUUCAACUCAGGUCAUGAUCUCACGGUUUGUGGGUUCGAGCCCCACAUCGGGCU